GGAGGGAGCGAGCGUUGUUCGGAAUCACUGGGCGUAAAGGGCGCGUAGGCGGCCGAGCAAGUCGUGUGUGAAAGACCGGGGCUCAACUCCGUGUACUGCAUGCGAUACUGCCCGGCUGGAGAAAGGUAGAGGCGAGUGGAAUUCCCGGUGUAGCGGUGGAAUGCGUAGAUAUCGGGAAGAACACCUGUGGCGAAGGCGGCUCGCUGGGCCUUUUCUGACGCUGAAGUGCGAAAGCGUGGGGAGCAAACAGGAUUAGAUACCCUGGUAGUCCACGCCGUAAACGAUGGGCACUAGGCGUUGGGAGGAUUGACCCUCUCAGUGCCGUAGCUAACGCGUUAAGUGCCCCCGCCUGGGGAUACGGCCGCAAGGCUG
rnacentral:rRNA from 1 species